rnacentral:rRNA from 1 species
UACAGAGGGGGCAAGCGUUAUUCGGAAUUACUGGGCGUAAAGUGUGCGCAGGUGGCCAACUAAGUCAGACGUGAAAUCCCCAGGCUCAACUUGGGAACUGCGUCUGAUACUGGAUGGCUUGAAUUCGGGAGAGGGAUGCAGAAUUCCAGGUGUAGCGGUGAAAUGCGUAGAUAUCUGGAGGAAUACCGGUGGCGAAGGCGGCAUCCUGGACCGAGAUUGACACUGAUGAGCGAAAGCUAGGGGAGCAAACGGG